GAGUGAUCUUUAAAGAUUCCCUCCCCUUGCAGCUGGGUGGAGAGGUGAUCUGGGCUGCUCUGGAAACAGCGGAUAGAGAAGCGGCUGUCUGAAGAGGACAGAGAUUUGAGAUAAAGAGGCACAUCUAUUUCUUUCUUGUGGACAAUAUGCUUAUGGAUAUGAAAUCACACCCGACUCUUGCUUAGAAAGCAGCAGCGAUUUGCUCGACGGAGUGGCACGUGUUUACUCUCACUGAUGCUGUUUGAGGUGAUCCGUUUUCCUGGUAACAGACAGAAUGUGUUCCUUUCUGUGAAUUCACAGAGGCUCCAACGCUGCAGUUCCUUGGGAGCAAACUCUGCUGUUAGGCACUAUAAUUUUUUGAUUUUGCAGUUCACAUGAUGUCUCAGA
rnacentral:lncRNA from 1 species